CUGAGAUUAGAGCAUAGGGAGACCAGGAUGAUUAAGGAGGAAACCCACAGGAAGAGGAAGCCCUGGGAUCUUUGCUUGAAUAGAGAAAUCAAAGAGGUGGCUAGGAGACAGACAGUAGCUAAUGGGGUGGACCAGCCUCUGGUUGUGUGCCUUUAAAGAAGGACAGGCACUGGAUUUGCAGGAGGAGAGCUCUGGGAGGUAUUCAAGAAAGAAGCAGUGAGUGAUGAAAGGUCAAGCCUGAGCAGGGCAGGAAUGGGUUUAAGAUUUGGGUAUUAUUGGAGGAUUCCAGGGAGGGGCCCUGAGAGAAGGAUGAAUGUAGCGAGGCUGUGGGGGAGAAGGCCUGGUAAAAGGCUGCAGUAGGAAGGAGUCCAGGAAGGCCUCAGCCAGGAGUCAAAUGGAGCAAACCUUGGCUGCUGGUUAUAGGGUCCCUGGACUGCAAGCCAGAGUGCAGAUUCCCCUACCAGCCACUCAUAAGAUAAGUAGUAGACUUAAAUGUGACCUGGAUAGAGGACAGUGGGAAAAGACACCACUGGGGUCUGGAGUGACCUUCAGCAAGGGGUGCUAGAAAGAAGAUAGCCUGCUACACUAUGCCAGCCAUGAGGAGGUGCUCUAGCGAUGCCACCUGAAGUUUCCAGAACUAGCAGUUUUGAAACAACAAUUUUCCUUUGUAAGUAGUUCCUAGAUGCCUCAACCAAUAUCAGGGCCUCCCUCUGCUAAGUGCUGUACAAAUGCACAGUCAGUCAGCUCCUGCCCAGAAGAGCUCUCAUUCAGACUAGCCAGAGAGGAAAAGGUUGGGAGAAAGGGAUAGACCAAACAAGCAGAAGAUUGGAAGCGGCAACACACAAUGAUAUAAUGACAUGUCCAAGAUCAUAAAGAGUCUGUUGCAGAGCCAGAGGAGAACCUAAAUCUAUCAAGUCUAAUCCAGUGCCAUAAUCAAAAGACUAUUCUUUCUUCCAUGAGAAGAACAAGAAGCCUACACUUUCUUCAUCUUUUUCAGGGCUCUGACAACCCUGUAAUCCCUAAAUCAUUUCCCAUUUAAGCUCCAUCCGUCUGCUAAUGGUACCAUGCUAUGGUACCUAUUAUUCUGUCUAAGGAGAAAUGAGUGAGAUGUAAUUAGAUGUAGGAGUUACUGCUGAGCAUGUCAAAGUUCUUACUCCCCAACCAGGGCCCUAAUUUAGGAAAGCACUUUAUCACAUUCCUAACUGUAAAUCUGUGCUUCAAUUCCAUUGAAAUCAAUGGGAUGGAAGCACAGAGUUGCAUUGUUUUCCUGAAGUAGCGCCCAGCAUAGGAAGCUAUUGCUUCUGCAGCCCCUCUUCCUCAACUAGCAAAAGACAGGCUUUGCGAUAAUAUUGAAACUUAGGUUUUGAAAUAAUCAACUUUAAAUUACAUUUUAACCAGAAAUUCUUAUGGCUUCAUUGCAACCCAGAUCCCUUUUAUUAAAAGGCACCUUGUAAAUCCCAGUGUGAGAUCCAUCCAUAUUGUGAAUUAUUAUACACUAAAAAUGUGUUUUAAUCCAAAUGAAACUAACCUUCCUUGAGGGGUUUUUAUUGCCUGCAGUCAGUUCAGUCUGGGCA